rnacentral:rRNA from 1 species
UACAGAGGGUGCAAGCGUUAAUCGGAAUUACUGGGCGUAAAGCGUGCGUAGACGGUAGCGUAAGUCGGGUGUGAAAGCCCCGGGCUCAACCUGGGGAAUUGCAUUCGAGACUGCUCUGCUAGGGUGCGGAAGAGGGGAGCGGAAUUUCCGGUGUAGCGGUGAAAUGCGUAGAUAUCGGAAGGAACACCAGUGGCGAAAGCGGCUCCCUGGUCCAGCACCGACGUCAGGCACGAAAGCGUGGGGAGCAAACAGG